rnacentral:rRNA from 1 species
UGGGGAAUCUUGCACAAUGGGCGAAAGCCUGAUGCAGCAACGCCGCGUGCGGGAAGACAGCCCUAGGGUUGUAAACCGCUUUCAGCAGGGAAGAAACUGACGGUACCUGCAGAAGAAGAUGCGGCCAACUACGUGCCAGCAGCCGCGGUGACACGUAGGCAUCAAGCGUUAUCCGGAUUUAUUGGGCGUAAAGAGCUCGUAGGCGGUUCGGUAAGUCGGGUGUGAAAACUCUGGGCUCAACCCAGAGAGGCCACUCGAUACUGCUGUGACUAGAGUGCGGUAGGGGAGCGGGGAAUUCCUGGUGUAGCGGUGAAAUGCGCAGAUAUCAGGAGGAACACCAGUGGCGAAAGGCGCCGCUCUGGGCCGUAACUGACGCUGAGGAGCG